rnacentral:rRNA from 1 species
GACGAGGGGUCCAAGCGUUGUUCGGAAUCAUUGGGCGUAAAGCGGGUGUAGGUGGCUCUAUAAGUCAGGAGUGAAAGCCCCGAGCUUAACUUGGGAAGUGCUUUUGAUACUGUAGAGCUUGAAUGUGGGAGAGGAUCGUGGAAUUCCAGGUGUAGUGGUGAAAUACGUAGAUAUCUGGAGGAACACCGGUGGCGAAGGCGGCGAUCUGGCCCAACAUUGACACUGAGACCCGAAAGCGCGGGGAUCAAACAGGAUUAGAAACCCUAGUAGUCC